UAAAAAGCGAUGAAGAGAAACGUCAUUUUCCGUUCGUAAUAAGAGAGUUGCUGGUUGGUGUGAAGCAAUUUACGUCCUUAGAUGAUUAUCAUCUCCGAGCUAUGUGAUCAAAGUUUUAGUAGAUUGCAUUGGGUGCACCCAUUAUUGUGUCAGCGUAUCGCGAAAGCUGUACGUGUGAGGUAAUGCUAGUAAUAGCACUACAAAUUAAGGUGGUACCGCGCAAUAGGCGUCCUUUUA
rnacentral:ncRNA from 1 species